UACGGCGGGGGCUAGCGUUGUUCGGAAUUACUGGGCGUAAAGCGCGCGUAGGCGGGCUGAUAAGUCGGGGGUGAAAUCCCGGGGCUCAACCCCGGAACUGCCUUCGAUACUGGCAGCCUAGAGGAACGCAGAGGCUAGUGGAAUGGCGAGUGUAGAGGUGAACCUCGUAGAUAUUCGCCGGAACACCAGUGGCGAAGGCGACUGGCUGGUCCUUUUAUGCAGCUGAGGUGCGAAAGCGUGGGGAGCAAACAGG
rnacentral:rRNA from 1 species